rnacentral:rRNA from 1 species
GCUCUGCUUGCAUAUCGCGGAUGAGUGGCGAACAGGUGAGUAACAUGUGGGCAACCUGCCUGUAAGAUCGGGAUAACUCCGGGAAACCGGGGCUAAUACCGGAUAACCCGUGCCACCUCAUGGAGGGGCAUUGAAAGGCCGCUUCGGCUGUCACUUACAGAUGGGCCCGCGGCGUAUUAGCUUGUUGGUGGGGUAACGGCCCACCAAGGCGAUGAUACUUAGACAACCUGAGAGGGUAAUCUGCCACACUGAGACUGACACAACGCCCAGACUCCUACGGGAGGCAGCAUUAUGGAAUCUUCCCCAAUGCACGAUAGUCUGACGGAGCGAUGCCGCAUGAGUGAAGAAGGUCUUCGGAUCGUAAAGCUCUGUUGCCGGAGAAUAACAAGGACACCUUUACCUGGCUGUCCCUUGACGGUAUCCGGCCAGAAAGCCACGGGUAACUACGUGCCAGCAAACGCGGAAAUACCUAGGUGGCAAGCGUUGUCCGGAUUUAUUGGCCCUCAAGCGAGC